AGUGAACGCUGGCGGCGUGCUUAACACAUGCAAGUCGAACGCGAAAGGGUAGCAAUACCCGAGUAGAGUGGCGAACGGGUGAGUAAAAUGUGGGUAAUCUAGCUUUCAGAGGGGGAUAACCCGGGGAAACCUGGGCUAAAACCGCGUAACAUAUUGAUGAUUCUGGUCAUUAAUAUCAAAACAUGGCCUCUAUUUAUGAGCUAUGGCUGGAAGGUGAGCCCACAUCCUAUCACGCUUGUUGGUGAGGUAAAGGCUCACCAAGGCGACGACGGGUAGCCGGCCUGAGAGGGCGUCCGGCCACACUGGAACUGAGACACGGUCCAGACUCCUACGGGAGGCAGCAGUGGGGAAUUUUCGCAAUGGGCGCAAGCCUGACGAAGCAACGCCGCAUAGAGGAUGAAGGCCCUCGCGGUCGUAAACUCUUGUCUAGCGGGACGAAACUCCAAGACGGAAAUACUGUUUUGGAUUGACUGUACCGCUGGAGGAAGCUCCGGCCAACUCCGUGCC
rnacentral:rRNA from 1 species